GAUAUAUUGCGCUUACAGUAACUGGAAGAAACUGCCCACUGGUGCGUGUGGGUCUCACUCUCUUGUUACCUCACAACCUGCUUGAGAACAACCUUUCUGCAGAGCAGCUUUCACCUGAGGCAAACGCAGGACAAGGGAAGGACAAUGAUGCUACUGACAGUUGCCCCCUGGAGAAAAAAGUCUGGAUAAGGAUCUGAAGUUUGCCAUCUGCUAGCACUGUGGAGAAGAUUCUGCAGGACCCUUUGGCAACUUUGACAUCUGAAGGCGUUGUUUUUCUUCAGUGAUUUGCCAGAACUUGAGAGUGUAUUGAUGCAGUGGCUUUCUUCACUUYGGAUAUGAUGAUAGGAAUUUCAGAACACAAAAUGCGGAAAUGUGCAUCUGGGUCUCAUAUCCACAAAAGGUGCCAGCGUUCUGGAAACUUAUGGAGUUUGAC